rnacentral:rRNA from 1 species
CACUAUGCCUUACCAUAAACAUUGAUAGAUUUAGUCACAUUUACUAUCCGCCUGGGUACUACAAGCACCAGCUUCAAACCCAAAGGACUUGGCGGUGCUUUAGACCCCUCUAGAGGAGCCUGUUCUAGAACCGAUAACCCCCGUUAAACCUCACCUUUCCUUGUACCCCCCGCCUAUAUAUCUCCGUCGCCAGCUUACCCUGUGAAGGCCUUAUAGUAAGUAUAACCGGUGAAUACCACCCCAAACGUCAGGUCGAGAUGUAGCGCAUGGGAAGGGAAGAAAUGGGCUACAUUACCUAGACAUAGCGUAACACGAAUGAUAACUUGAAACACUUAUCUGAAGGAGGAUUUAGUAGUAAGUAGAAAAUAGAGUGUUCUACUGAAACCGGCUCUGAAGCGCGCACACACCGCCCGUCACUCUCCCUGAGCUAAACUGUCAAUAUAAUUAAACUACUAAUAUUGCACGAGGGGAGGCAAGUCGUAA